GACGAACGCUGGCGGCGUGCUUAACACAUGCAAGUCGAACGGGGAUAUACUGGAGGAGAGCUUCGGCAGGAAUCGGGUAUAUUCCAGUGGCGGACGGGUGAGUAACGCGUGAGCAACCUGUCCCAGACAGGGGGAUAACACUUGGAAACAGGUGCUAAUACCGCAUAAGACCACGGGGUCACAUGGCCCAGGGGUAAAAGGUGCAAACCGGUUUGGGGUGGGCUCGCGUCCGAUUAGAUAGUUGGUGAGGUAACGGCCCACCAAGUCGACGAUCGGUAGCCGACCUGAGAGGGUGAUCGGCCACAUUGGAACUGAGAGACGGUCCAA
rnacentral:rRNA from 1 species